rnacentral:lncRNA from 1 species
AUGGCUUCAUUUUCAUGGGUGACUUUGGUACUGAAGAGUCCUAGAUUGGAGCCCACUGACCUUGACUUGAGAGCCUGGAACCUGUAUGUUGUACAGCUCAGUGUUUCUGCUCUCUCCUUUUGUUGGAGCAAAGGAGCAGAAGACAGGAAUCUGCCUGAGGUUUGGAGAAGCUCCUGGGAAGAAGUGGAUAGCAAAAAGACACUUGAAGCGAAACCUAAAAUCAAACCCCCUCUUCCUGAUCAUUGUAUCAAAGCAAUAGAGGAGAUGGAGAAGCUCACUGUGGAGUGGCAUUUAAGAACAGUCCUGACAUCUGCUGCCCAGUGGAAGAGGAAAGCAAUGGCAGAUUGGGCAGAACAAGAAACUCAGGGGGCAAAGAGUACGUGCAGGACCCAGAUCCAGCGUCCUCACGAGGAAAGCUCAGAGAUGCUCCGUCAGGCAGAGGAAUGGAGCAGAGCCAAACAGACUGGAGAGGAAUGGACUAGUGGACACCGCAGUGGCUGCGGUCUGCACUGUGCUAGAGUUGUGGUUAUGAGCCAGGUCACCCGGCUCGCAGGCGGGGGCUGCGGGGGGCUGCUGGAGCACUGGUGUGCGGCGGGGGGAGCAGUGAGCUCCCGCUCGCUGUUUGGCACCAGCUUGUCCCAUUCUGCCGGCUGAGGUGCUGGCUGAUGAGCCUCGUGCGCUUCAGCAGCUGCUCUAUUUUCUACCUCAUCCAGCUUUUGUUCCAUAUGGGUUUGUGCCGAGAGAUAUCAAAACAGUCUGUACUAUUUCUCUGUGAUUCUUGGUCUGCUUGCUAGAACAGAGUAUUUCUUUGUUGAGGAAUGGAAUAAACCUCUUACUGUGUUUUCCUGCUUCAGGAUGAAUAGUGUUUUAGUGUCUUUUCUCUGCAUCUUUCGGACGGGAGAGCCCAGGAAAGAGAUUAGGCUCUGUCCUGUCUUCAUCAUUCAACAGCCAAAUGCUUCUUCAAG